UACGUAGGGUGCAAGCGUUAAUCGGAAUUACUGGGCGUAAAGCGUGCGCAGGCGGCUUUGCAAGACAGAUGUGAAAUCCCCGGGCUUAACCUGGGAACUGCGCUUGUGACUGCAAGACUCGAGUACGGCAGAGGGGGGUAGAAUUCCACGUGUAGCAGUGAAAUGCGUAGAGAUGUGGAGGAAUACCGAUGGCGAAGGCAGCCCCCUGGGUCGAUACUGACGCUCAUGCACGAAAGCGUGGGGAGCAAACAGG
rnacentral:rRNA from 1 species